UGACAAUGACGACUCUAUGUGAUUAGGUCUCGUUCGUCGUAAUUGGCCAAAUCGGCCUUGCCGACCAUCCUGUUAUAUCACCACCCAUAUUCUGAGUCC
rfam:Cicer arietinum chromosome Ca6, whole genome shotgun sequence.